UUCCUCUUGGCAGUUGGAUUGUGUCAAUAAUACCUACAUUUAAAGGAAACUUGGAUACCUUAGAAAAGUGAGAUGAAUGCUGUAGUCUGCACUUAGAAGAUGAACAUGGAAUUUUACAUCUCUCCGGGAAAAGAGAGGGAAGAGUGUGAGAGAAGAAAUGUGAUUACUGGCAUUGUUUCACCUGGACUGAAAGCUAGGGUCUGUUCCUGUUAUGGUGCCUGGGCUUGGCCCUAGAACUGGCAAUUAUCUAAGGAAUUAUCUUCCCAGUACAAAGUGAUGCUGAGAAUAGGAGAUGGAGAAAACAAACGGAGGAGAAGCCACAGUGGAGAUUGACACAGAGAAACUGGGGCUGGAGCUCAUGGAAGAAGACAUAUAUUCUGAGGGAACCAGGACUGAAGAGCAAGGUCAUAGCAUUGAAGAUGGGUUGGGGUCUUCCACUCAGCAGAGGAGGAACCUACAACCUUUCACCAGGGCAAGAAGUUUCUGCAAAACACAUGCUGGCUUGCUCAAGAAGAUCCUGCUGGGCCUGUUGUGUUUGGCUUAUGCCGCCUACUUCCUGACAGCUUGCAUCUUGGAUUUCCAGAGGGCACUGGCCUUGUUCAUCCUCACCUGUUUGGUGCUCUUGGUCCUGGUUCACCACUUUCUGAAAAGGUUCUUUGGAAAAAAAAUAACCAAAUGUCUAAAGCCCUUUAAAAACUCCUGUCUGAAGCUUUGGAUGAAAUGGGUGUUUGCAGGGCUCUCCUUGGUUGGCCUUAUCCUGUGGCUGGCUCUAGACACAGCCCAAAGGCCAGAGCAGCUGAUCUCCUUCGCAGGAAUCUGCAUGUUUAUCCUCAUCCUCUUUGCCUGUUCCAAACACCACAGUGCGGUGUCCUGGAGGGCAGUGUUGUGGGGCCUGGGUCUUCAGUUUGUCUUUGGGAUCUUGGUCAUCAGAACUGAUCUUGGAUUUAAUGCAUUUCAAUGGCUGGGAAACCAGAUUCAGAUUUUCCUGAACUAUACUGUGGCUGGCUCCAGUUUUGUAUUUGGGGAUAUGCUGGUCACGAGUGCCUUUGCCUUUCAGGCCUUACCAAUCAUCCUUUUCUUUGGCUGUGUCAUGUCCAUUCUCUACUAUCUGGGCCUCGUGCAGUGGGUGAUUCAGAAGAUUGCCUGGUUUUUGCAGAUCACCUUGGGCACCACUGCCACAGAAACCCUGGCUGUGGCAGGAAACAUCUUUGUGGGUAUGACAGAGGCACCUCUGCUCAUCCGUCCAUACCUUGGAGACAUGACGCUCUCGGAACUCCACGCAGUGAUGACUGGAGGGUUUGCUACUAUUUCAGGCACUGUGUUGGGAGCCUUCAUAUCUUUUGGGAUUGAUGCAUCAUCCCUGAUUUCUGCCUCUGUGAUGGCUGCCCCCUCUGCCCUUGCCUUGUCAAAACUGGUAUAUCCAGAAAUGGAGGAGUCCAAGUUCAAGAAUAAGGAGGGGGUAAAAUUGCCCCGUGGGAAGGAGAAGAACGUCCUGGAAGCUGCCAGCAAUGGAGCCACAGAUGCCAUAGGCCUUGCUGCUAAUGUAGCAGCAAACCUGAUUGCCUUUUUGGCUGUGCUGGCCUUCAUCAACGCUGCCCUCUCCUGGCUAGGGGAAAUGGUAGACAUACAAGGGCUCACUUUCCAGGUCAUCUGCUCCUAUAUCCUAAGGCCCAUGGUUUUCAUGAUGGGUGUAGAGUGGACAGACUGUCCAAUGGUGGCUGAAAUGGUGGGGAUCAAGUUCUUCACAAAUGAGUUUGUGGCCUAUCAGCAACUGUCUCAGUAUAAGAACAAACGUCUCUCUGGAGUGGAAGAGUGGAUUGGGGGUGAGAAACAGUGGAUUUCCGUGAGAGCUGAAGUUAUUACAACAUUUUCACUCUGUGGAUUUGCCAAUCUUACCUCCAUAGGAAUCACAUUGGGAGGCUUGAUGCCUGAUGGGGAAGAGAUCAAGCUAUUCUGUUGUCUGCAGCAUCGAUGGCACCCCACCGGAAGAGUGACUUGUCCAAGGUUGUGGUCAGCGCCCUCCUCACAGGGGCCUGUGUAUCCCUUAUCAGUGCCUGUGUGGCAGGAAUCCUCUAUGUUCCCAGGGGAGCUGAAACUGACUGUGUCUCCUUCCUAAAUACAAGUUUCAGCAAUAGAACCUAUGAGACCUAUGUGUGCUGCAGAGAACUCUUUCAAAGUACUGCUCUGAAUGGCACCAGCCCUCCUUCUUUUUCUGGCCCUUGGGGAGAUAAAGAGUUCAGUGCCAUGGCCCUUGCUAACUGCUGUGCGUUCUAUGCCAAUGCUGUCUGUGCCUAAGGCUGGUCCAUUUCCAUAACAGCCCUGAUCUUUAUGCCUUUUUGAUGGCAAAGGUGCUUAUGUACUCAGAGUUCCCACCCUCCAAGUAACUCACCACGAUCUUUAACAGUAAAUGUAAAAAUUUCAUUGUGCUCACUGUAUGCCCAUAAUGAAAAUUAGAUUUCUCUUUUCAUUAUUUGGCUGGACCAAACAGGAAAUUUCUUAAGGGCUCUCUCUGAAUUUAUAUUUGAAAUAAUAAAUAUUACCAUAUAAAAAAA